AAGCAUGCAAUUAUCAAAUUACGUACUCCUCCACAGAUAGAUCAAUCAUAUAAUCCCUGAUAAAUGAGAGAACAGAAAUGAGAAAAUAUGUCUGGUAGAAAUGAAAGCCUUCCCUUCUUUCAUUUGACUCAAACCAAAGCACUGCUGUCCCAAUUCCUCAGUAGGCAGGUUGUCACAGAGCACUGUGUUCAGGGGGUUCUGCAAUGCCUCCCUUCCAGGGCACAAGGAGAGAAUUUGGAAGAAUGCAUGAGAUUUUGCCAGCAUCUGGCUUCAGAGUCCACUUGUGUGGGCUGAGAGGGAGCGUGGGCUGAAAGGGAGCGUGGGCUAACAGGGCAGCAGGCAGCACUGCAAUCACUGCUACAAUGCGAGGUCUGUAGGAAGAGUAGGAGUUUAGGUUGCAGAUGUCCCACUGCCUGCUGUUGAUCCUGCAUCUAUCUGUUCCUUCUCAUAGCCUUCUCACUCAGCCUUUGUACAGGAGACAAUAAAUUCCUCUCUCUGCAUAGUUUAGUAAAUUAAUUUAAAUAGUUAACAUUUAGUAAAUUGUUUAGUAUUUCUAGUAAAUAUAUGAAUGUAAGUGCUUGUUGCCACCACUCUGGAGCAGAUGCCGUAUUACAUAUGAAUGCACAUCGUGCUUGGUUGCUGAGGAGAUCAUAUAAAUAGAUACCUGGAGAAUUCUUAAAGCCUGGUGAUUCUUACUGGAAGUACUAUAGGAGGCUUGCAAAAGUCUAUCUGUGCUGGCUCUUCAGAAGUAUUUCACAGCUUUGCAUACUUAUCUGAGAGUAAAUUAAAAUGCCUGGGUAUGACCAGAGAUGACUGAAAGGAUUUGUCAGCUGCCAUAAGAAUAGGAGAGCAAUUAAGUAGAGACAGUAACCUCUUAAAUGUCUGCGGCACAAACUUAGAAGCACCCUUGAUCAAAUUCUGCAAUCAAGGCUAGGCAAUUUUAUUAGCACCUACAUAUCAACAUAAAAUGCCUGUAUUUAUAUUCAAAUCCUCAAUCAUGGAUUGGAACCUAGUUGUAGAUGUUGUAGAAACAUUUCCCUGUACCCAAAGAACCCACUAGUGGUGCAUACAGAAGCAUUUUGGUGAUUGUAAGUGCUUACAACUGUGCUAGCAAAAGACCCCACCAGAGACAUGAGCUACAUAAAUUUAAUUCCACUGUGACUGAGUCCAUGCUAAUGUUUUUGUCAACAUCACGACUGUACUUGAAAGUCAUUUUUGGCUUCCUUCUCCCAUUCUCUGACCUCCAUUCAGUCCUGCUAGUAAAACUUCCAUCAACUUGCUGUCAUGUUGGGGUCCACAGGUCCCACAGAGACCUAGCAAAGGUUAAUCGCUGCAGUGGGGUGGGUCAGCCCAGCUGGUUUUCAUAGGAGUUGCUGAGAAGAUUUAACCCCCUUUAAGAGGGACAGGGAAGGAAAUAAAGCUAGUGUGUUAGCUGCUGGAAGAAGAGUUGGAUUCAAAGAGUACCAGUUGACUUUGCCCAUAAAAUGCACUGGCAUUUUGUAAGUAGGAGCUGUAUAACUCUGGAGCCUCACCAACAGAUCCAAGCAAGGCUUGCACUGAACGUCUUGAUUUUGGAGAAUGAUAUUGGAUUUUGGCUUGUCUGUAUUACAAACACUAUUUCUCUGUGUGUGCUAUAUAAUAAAUACUUCUUUAAUAUAUUUUUUAAGUGGUUACCAGGUUAA